AGGUGCAGUACUCGUUUUGUACACCAGAUGGAACCCUAACACUGUCUAUAGCCUCACUGCAUUGGAGAAAUGUGUGGUUGGCAUCAUGUGACAAUGCAGCCUGACAUGCCUGGCUUUAGCUUUUCUCCACUUACCACCUAUGCAAUUGUGGGCCACCAUAUUUUUGGAAUGUCAGAUCUGUGUCACUGAGGUUAUUUGGUGGAAGUUGCAUUCCAUGCAUGUCAUCCACACUCAUUAGUGUGCUGUGCUGUGCAGGAAAAACUGCUUGUUUUCUUCACCACUGGAAAAUAGCAAUUAGGGUUUGGCUGUUUGUUGCUAGCCAAACCACAAGGUGUCCUCAGGAGCCAAUGUCAGUCACUCAGGGUAUCUGAGCUGGUCAGCUGAUGCCUCCAUGCUCAGAGGAGCAGAAGAGCAACUAUUGAGAAUAAAGGAAAAGGAAACACAGACUGACAGACGAUAAACAGAAAGCUCUUUCCUCUCACAGAGAACAUUAGGACCUGUGAAAAAAUGGCUACAAUCAAAAAUGAGGCA